UUUCCGUAUUUAAUCUAGUUAAAAAGGGCUCUUUUUCCCUCUCCUCACACCCCACCCCCCCUCCUCCUUUCUCUUAGUUAGUCACUAUGCUAGUAGGAUUGAAUUUGAGCUGUUCUGUGCCCAUGCAUGUGGAGAUAAGUCAGUAUCAGGUUGCUUACAUAUUUAGAUGGUAGUAGCUGAUAUAUAUGUCGGUAAUUGCAGUGUAUAGAUUCCCAAGUAGUUAAUAUCGAUGGUAUGUUCGCUAGGAACUGGGAGAAUGGCUGUCAUGGCUAGGCUUCUGGCUGCAGGAAGUUUAUCACAAACCAUUGCAGAGGAAAUUGGCCAACAGAAAUUGGCUAAUCAAUGCAUUUACAGAGAAUUACAUGAGGCAGAUGAAGCAAAUUUGCUUGAUGAAGAAGGUAAUAUUCUUAGCAUCAAAUAUUACACUGGGAAGUUUUAACCAUAAUGGAUGGGACCUUCUUUAAGAAUUUGCUGCGGGAAUAGGGAAAUGAAUGCCUUCGUUGUUUGGGAGAUCUAGGGUCCAAGACUAGCUAAGUUCCUGGGUCUUAGCCAGGUGAUGUUUUCCAUACAGGUAAGAGUGAGCCUAUAUGGCCUUGCCCAAGCAGGAACGCCUAAAUUUAAGUACAAGGUCAUGGUGACAUUAACUGCAAUUCUAAGUGUUAAUUUUGUUGCAUGUUAUUUCUGCUCAGUUUUUAAGUUUUGCGGUAAUGUCAAGUUCUUUAUCUGCAUGUUGAUUUCCUUCUGCAGAUAUGCAUGUUUUUGGUUUGAAACCUAUGACUGAUCCUUUGGAUUUGGUAAGGUUGAGCAAUGCUAUGAAACUCUUUAUGUUAAUGAUAACAUCUUGGUUAUUCAUUUGGUCAUUGUAUGGAAGUUUGUCUUUUGCAUCUACAUUAACAAAUUUCAACUUUACAUAAUUUAUCUGAUUGGGUAAUAUAAUGGUGAAGGUUUGUUGUAAUGCUUGCAAGAAACCAGUGAAGACCAGUCAGUAUGCAGCUCAUGCAGGUUUUGAGGUUUUCUUUUCUUUUUUUUUCCUCCCACCCCCUUUGCCUUUUCUUUCAAGCUUGUCUUUCUGUUAUGGCAAUGAGAGUUAAUGUGGCUUUUGAUAAUUGUUUGUCAACAAAAAUUUUAAUCUUAGGAUGAGUUUACUGAAAUUUUCAGUCUUCUCUAGAUAAGGCUAGAUAAGCAUUUAUCAACAAUAAUUAUAAUUUUUUGAUCCAGACUAGAAACCAAUGAAGUAUGGAUGGUGUUGCCUUAUUGGGUGUCCAAUCUUGAAACCUUGUAGGCAUGCAUGUGUGUUUUUUGGGGCGACCACAUUUACAUAAUGGGCUAUAUGCGAAUUGCUUACCUAGUUUUACUCUCUCUUCAAAUUCAGUGGUGCUUGUGCUGCUCUGAGUUGGGUUGUUUUCUUUUUCCUCAUUUUUUCUAGAACUUUGUAGAUCCUUCAAUUCUGCAGAAGAAACGACAUUGGAGCUUCAUGGUAAUGUAGGGCACAGGAAACCUCCAAGGAAGGAGAGGAAAAAGUUAUUAACUUCUCAUAUUAACCAAGCUACACCUGUUGCAGAGCAAGGAAGGUCUGUAUCUAUAGAUGCAGAAGAUAUGGCUGCCUCUGAGUCUCAGUUGGAUGGGCGACGCAGAAGGUCAUCUUCAUUCUCCAUGGAUACAAAGAGUAGGUUCCUUUCACUCUUAAUUUGCUUUCUCUGGAUUCUGGCCUAUUCUGUAUCAAUGGUCAGUGAGUAAUUUGAUUUUCUAUUUAUUUUUCUUCUGUUAUAUUGACUCCUUAGUUAAUUGGAAAGAUUUCAUUUGACUAUGCUAUACUCCCUUGGUUGACAUAAUGAUGAUGUCACUUCCCCUAGGUUUGAGGCAUUUACUUGUCAGUGUUUUGAGUCUUAAGUCAUACUUAAUAUUUUGAGAUCCUCUGUUCUGCCUUGAUACUGAGGCAAGUGCCCUUACUGAUAUUAAUCCUGAUCUUUGAGUUCACAGUUCACACUUACUGGAACUACACCUGUUAAUCCACUUCAAAAACAUUCCGUGUUUUACGCACAAUAUCUCUGUUCUUCUGCCUGCCUUGUCUUAGUGAUCAUUCCUACUUAUUUAAUUACUCAAUUUUUCGAAAUUUGGAUUGCAAUCCUUUCAUCAAACAAAAAAUUUUUAGUUCAACCCAUGCUUGUCUUGGUGUUGGAUGGUUAUAUCGGGACGUAAUUGCCAUUUGCUUUUCAGUGAUCAUUUGCAUCUACUGUACAGUGAUGAAUUUUCAGGGGAAAAUUAACUUUAUUCUAAAGACAAUGGAUGCAGUUUCCAAUCAUGUGUGUUUUCUUCUUUGGGCAAGUGUCAGAAGAUAAAAUAAUGUUUUGUUCUUUCUAUGUGUAAUUCUGUAUCAUUACGAACAAUUUUUCAGUGGUGUCUUUUGUAACAGAAAAAUAAUAUGGUCAUCUGUCUUUUUCCCACGUGAUGCAAAGGUUUGGUUGGAACUUUUUUGUAUAGGAGAGUAGGCUGUUAGUGAUGGAUACUUCUCUAUGGCCAGCAAUUGAGAUUGCACUUGCUAUGAAAUGAUGGAAAGUGCUUUUUUUUAUUGACAUAAAUUUGUGAAUGCUGUGUAGCAAAUCCCAUAUGUUAGGGAUAGUGGUGAUGGUCAAUUAAAUUGAGUUGCAUCUGCUUUUAAUGCAUGCUUUUUGUUGGUGACAACUUGGUAGUAUAUUGUAAGCUUGUAACUUCUACAGUACAUAGGUUUAUUUUUGCAAAAGAAAAAAAAAACUUUGAAUUUAGCUUUAUUUUUUGCUUUCCUUGUGUCAAUUAGGAAAUCCCGCAUGUGUAGAUAUGGCAUUUACGGUGGAUGGUAAAGGAGAAAGUCCUGAACAUACAGGCUACUCAGCCUGUGUAAUGCCACCUCCAACAAAACGCUCUAAACUGUAUGCUUUCUUUGUUCUUAUUGCAAUGUGACUGCUUUAAAUUAUGUUAAUCCUCGUUUUCAGGUAUCAUAUAUUUGUUCUGCAUUGAUAUCCUCAUUCUUUUCAUAACUCCUAUUUUCUUUUUUUCUUAAUUUUUCAUUUAUGCAUAUUCAUUUAAUUGUUGUACUAGCAUGCUUAAGCAAUUAUUUUUUUAAGGUUACGUCUCCAAGAACAUGUCAAUAACUGUAUUUGUGGCAUUUAACAGGGGAAUGAUUUUUUAGUGCUUAUCUUAUUACCAGUCUUUAUUGUGCGGAUAAAUGAUAAGGCAUUUAGCCUUAUGAGUUGCUUCAUUACACUGCUGUAUCCCUCAACAUGCCCACCUGUUGCAAUGAGUGCGGAAUAUUUGCUGCUAUAUAUUGGUUGGGUUGUUGUAGUUUUUGGAUUUAUACAACCAAGAAUCCUCCCUGAAAAAUCACUAGGUUUUGCUAAAUUCAUUUAACCAUAAUCGAGUCAUCCUCUAUUUAACUUGGUACAUAUUCCUUUUUGUUCUUGUAGUGUAUCAAGUCAGCAUCUAUUGUUAUCAAAUGAUCCAGAAGCAGCUUCUGGCCUAACAAAAAUCACGAGUGCUCAAGAUAGUUUUGCCUUCAGGGAUUUUCAAAUACAGUCAACUUUGGGUAGUGACAUGCCAAAUGAUUGUGGUGUUGUCUCUAAGUUCCCUGGGCAAGCUAAUCAAAAGUUCCUGCUGGCAAAAGGUGUUCUUCUUUUGCUUUCAGUUGUUCUCUAUAACAUUUAUGUGACAUCAUCUUAAAUCUUUUUCUGAUCCUUGACUUUAAAAUGUUUCCUUCUUUCUUCAUAUUCAAUAACAAUUAAAGCAAUUAAACCAGAUGUUCCAAUUCCCCUUGCUACAAAAAUAUAUUACUCUCAGAGGAACACUCGCCUUCGGUCAGCAGUUGCUCAUAUGUACCAUGCAGCAUCAGCUAAGGUGAUAAACAGUAAUGUUGUGAGUCCAGAAGUAUCAAAUGAAAACAUAAUGCAAUUACAGGCUUCAUCCCAUAAGGACUGUUCACAUGAGCAAGUUGAUAACUUUCUCAACAAGAAGAGAGAACCUUCUGCAUGUAAACCUGAUCAAAUUCUUGCACAAAGCUCAGAACUGUGCUUGGAUAAAUCAGGAGGAUGCAUACCAGCCAUUAGCUUCUCAAAUCCGCUUCCUGUUGAUAACAUUUUAAGGCCUCAGACUGCUUCUGUUGGAUUGCUCAGAAGCAAGUAUCUUUCAGAGCCUUAUUCUUUUGCAGGCAACUCAGGACAAUCACUGGGGACCAGGACCAUGCAGCAAGCAAAUGGAAGUGUUCCCGUUUUAUAGGAGUCUUCGUGGUGGGAGUUUUGGUUAACUAAUGGUGUAUUUAGUACAAUACACGAGGUUAGGAUCUAUUUUUGGAGCUGAAAAAGCAAAUUACCAUAAUUGUUUAUUCUAACCUUCUUUAAUCUGUAUCAUGCUCGACUUCUGACUCUGUUUAUAUGCUUGUAGAAAUAAAGAGAAAAUAUUACUUAAUAGAGCCAUCGUUGUAGUGCCUCGAGAAUGCUGCAGUAUUCAUAUAAUUAUUCUAUUCAAAUGUGUUUGAAUCUUUUGUUGUUUUAUGAGAUCUCAUAUAUGAGCAUAACC
rnacentral:misc_RNA from 1 species